rnacentral:rRNA from 1 species
AGAAUCAACGCUGGCGGCGUGCCUAACACAUGCAAGUCGAACGAGAAAGUGGAGCAAUCCAUGAGUAAAGUGGCGCACGGGUGAGUAACACGUGACUAACCUACCCUUGAGUGGGGGAUAACCUAGGGAACCUGGGCUAAUACCGCAUAAUACCUUCGGGUCAAAAGGAGCAAAUUCGCUUAAAGGAGGGGGUCGCGGCGAUUAGUUAGUUGGCGGGGUAAUGGCCCACCAAGACUGUGAUCGGUAU